ensembl:lncRNA
UCAGAUAGUGCUCUCUCUACAGUGCCUUAAAUGAAAGAUAUUUCCUUUGUGGUUAUGGAGCUGUUAAGAUGAGCAGUUAAUAAAUAAAAAAGCAGACUCGUUUUUAGGUUAUUGCUUUCACAUUAUAAUUGAGUUUUUUUUUUCUCACUUUCUCCUUGUUCCCCCCAUCAUAUUGAAUGUAUAACAAAGGACAUUGGACAGGAUUCCUAGUCUGCUUGUGCUUCUGGAGGGUUACUAUCAAACUGGCAAAAAAGAAAAAAAUAUCCAUUUAGAAGACUGAAUGAGAAAAUCAAGAGCCUGAAGUUCAUUGUUUUUGAACAAAAAUUUGUGGAAUGCCUGCCAAUUUCAUUUAGGUGAAGGAUAAUUCUUUGUGAAAUUAUAUUUCAGAAUAUAACUAACCACAUUUCUAUAGAAUCUAAGGGAACAAAGCUCAUACACUAGUCUACUCAAGAUACUGCUUCAUAACUUAAUAUUCUGCUGAUGCCUUAAUUAUUUAAUUGGAAGUUCUCAUUAAAUCUUUGAAGAUAGGAAAUAUUUUUAAUGUUUUUUUUUAAAUCAUUCUAAAUGUCAAGAAAAAGAGUGAGCUUUGUGAAUUUUCUAUCAAUAGUAGCCGAAUCACUGAAGUUCAAUAUAGAUUUUUCUCAAAAAAGAAAUCCUAAAAAGCACAUUGUACAGUAUUAAUUUUACUUUCACAGUCAAAUUAAUGUCAAGAUAAUUUUUCAUAUCUAAUAUUCCUUCCAAGGUUAGUAUUUAAAGCACAGUAUAUUAUAACAGCUUCUUUUAAAACAUUACAGGGAUGAGCCAUUUCAGCUAUUUUUAAUCUUUUCACACAGAACUUUAUCUGAGAAAGAUUAUUAACACGACAAUCUUUGCUGUAAAAUUAAGGAAUUAAAAGCAAGUUCUUAAUAAUACAAAGUUCGCAUAAGCUACCUAAAAAAAAAAAAAAAACUUCAAAAAUUCUCAAUGAUAUCAAUAAUAAUAUAAAAUUGUACAUGUUGCUGAAAUGUAGUUUUGAAUGUUUUUUAUAAAAUUUGACGCAUUCCUUUUGCUGUCAACAUCAAUUUUCAAUUUCCAUACUACAGAAAAAAAGUUUAGAGAGCAUGAGUAAACUAAAAAAGCAAAUGUGAAAUUAAAAAAAUAAUGUAAACAAAAUUAAGCUCAUUAGGAAUUAAUUCUUCUGCUACCUUUCCAGUACAUCAACUUGACUACAAGAGAUGUUAACACUUUACAGAUAUUUAAUGUUUAGGAUGUGGAUUUUAUUCCUACACACUUUCUCCUUCAUUUUUAGAGACCCUUAGAGUACUAGGCUUGUAUUUUUAUUUGAGCAACACAAUCAUCAAGCUCAUCAAUCUUCUGAAGAAAUCCAGUUGUCAUUACAAAGCAAGAAGAACUCAGUAGAAGACAAGUUUGACUCUAUACAAGUACAGAAGAGCCUAGGACGUAAAAAUCAAGAUGUAAACAAAU